rnacentral:rRNA from 1 species
CCUACGGGAGGCUGCAGUGGGGAAUAUUGGACAAUGGGCGAAAGCCUGAUCCAGCCAUGCCGCGUGUGUGAAGAAGGCCUUCGGGUUGUAAAGCACUUUCAGUGGGGAAGAAAGCCUUGGGGCUAAUACCCUCGAGGAAGGACAUCACCCACAGAAGAAGCACCGGCUAACUCCGUGCCAGCAGCCGCGGUAAUACGGAGGGUGCGAGCGUUAAUCGGAAUUACUGGGCGUAAAGCGCGCGUAGGCGGUCUGAUAAGCCGGUUGUGAAAGCCCCGGGCUCAACCUGGGAACGGCAUCCGGAACUGUCAGGCUAGAGUGCAGGAGAGGAAGGUAGAAUUCCCGGUGUAGCGGUGAAAUGCGUAGAGAUCGGGAGGAAUACCAGUGGCGAAGGCGGCCUUCUGGACUGACACUGACGCUGAGGUGCGAAAGCGUGGGUAGCAAACAGGAUUAGAUACCCCGGGUAGUC